UACGUAGGUGGCGAGCGUUGUCCGGAUUUACUGGGCGUAAAGGGAGCGUAGGCGGAUUUUUAAGUGAGAUGUGAAAUACUCGGGCCCAACUUGAGUGCUGCAUUUCAAACUGGAAGUCUAGAGUGCAGGAGAGGAGGAUGGAAUUCCUAGUGUAGCGGUGAAAUGCGUAGAGAUUAGGAAGAACACCAGUGGCGAAGGCGAUUCUCUGGACUGUAACUGACGCUGAGGCUCGAAAGCGUGGGGAGCAAACAGG
rnacentral:rRNA from 1 species